rnacentral:rRNA from 1 species
GAUGAACGCUGACAGAAUGCUUAACACAUGCAAGUCGAUGGGGAAGUGGUGCUUGCACCAUGGCAACCAUGGCGGACGGGUGAGUAACGCGUAAGGGACUUACCUGCAGGACUGGGAUAACAGGGGGAAACUCCUGACAAGACCUGAUAAUGUCAUGGAGCUGCAUGGCUUUAUGAUGAAAGGAGACGCCUGCGGAGAGCCUUGCGUCCUAUUAGCUAGUUGGUGAGGUAAUGGCUCACCAAGGCGAAGAUAGGUAGCCGGCCUGAGAGGGUGGACGGCCACAAGGGGACUGAGAUGCGGCCCUUGCGCCUACGGGAGGCAGCAGUGGGGAAUAUUGGACAAUGGGGGCAACCCUGAUCCAGCAAUUCUGUGUGCACGAAGAAGGUUUUCGGAUUGUAAAGUGCUUUCAGCAGGGAAGAAGUAAGUGACGGUACCUGCAGAAGAAGCGACGGCUAAAUACGUG